rnacentral:pre_miRNA from 1 species
AGAACGCACAUUAAUUGUCCUUGGGGCCAUGGGGAUAAACAAAAACCCUGCAAAACCAAGUUAACACACCCUACAAUGGUUCUAGCACGAUUACUAACCUAUGGCUCUUAUACCAGAAUGGGAAAAACCC